rnacentral:rRNA from 1 species
UGCAAGUCGAACGAAGCUUGAUGAAUGAUCCCUUCGGGGUGAUUUCUGAUAUGACUUAGUGGCGGACGGUGAGUAACGCGUGAGCAACCUGCCUUUCAGAGGGGGAUUAGCGUUUUGGAAACGAACGAUAAUACCGCAUAACAUCAGAGUGCUGCAUGGCAUUUUGAUCAAAGGAGCAAUCCGCUGAAAGAUGGGCUCGCGUCUGAUUAGAUAGUUGGUGAGGUAACGGGCUCACCCAAGUCGACGAUCAGUAGCCGGACUGAGAGGUUUGAACGGCCACAUUGGGACUGAGACACGGCCCAGACUCCUACGGGAGGCAGCAGUGGGGAAUAUUGCACAAUGGGGGAAACCCUGAUGCAGCAACGCCGCGUGAGGGAAGACGGUUUUCGGAUUGUAAACCUUUGUCUUUGGUGAAGAAGAAGUGACGGUAGCCAAGGAGGAAGCCACGGCUAACUACGUGCC